rnacentral:rRNA from 1 species
UACAGAGGGCUCAACCGUUGCUCGGAUUUACUGGGCGUAAAGCGUGCGUAGGCGGUCGUUUAAGUCGGAUGUGAAAUCUCAGGGCUCAACCCUGAAACUGCAUUCGAUGCUGCUUGGCUAGGGUACUGGAGAGGAAACUGGAAUUUACGGUGUAGCAGUGAAAUGCGUAGAUAUCGUAAGGAAGACCAGUGGCGAAGGCGAGUCUCUGGACAAUUACCGACGCUGAGGCACGAAGGCCAGGGGAGCAAACGGG